AUUUGGGUGUAUAUAGUUCUGAAGUAAUACCACAAUUGUUUUAUCAUCUAAAUAAGAAGUAUCUGAAUAGUGCGCUAGUUUUUACUACUUAGACUAUUUUUCUGCUAUACUUUAUUUAUGUUUGUGAUGUAUAUACCUAUGUUAUUCUCUGCUAUUCGUGAAAUUAAAACAUCUAGAUUUCAUAUAUGCACAAUACACUUUUCUUCCAUCAUUAUUAAUGACCAAUGUCAGAUCACAUAAAGAUGCUUUUUGAGAAAUAGAUUCUGAUAAGUUUAAUCAAAUGUUUUAGUAUGAUAUAAAUAAUUUUGCUGUUUCAAAGUGAGGAAUCACCUCCUGAAGUUUACUCAUGUAUUCAAAACUUUCAUAACUUUAUAUUAUGUUUUGCAUCUCAAUCUUUUAUCCAAUGUGCAGACUUUGAGAAGAUAGAUAUCAGCCGAGUGGAUAAGGCUGGCCACAUUGAGGAUCAAGAGACAAAAAUAAGUUUUGGUUGAUGUAGGUACUUUGAUUACAUUAAAAAUUUUCAAUAAU